AGGAGUUAAGGCGAUGUGAGUCAACCCAGGCCUGGUUGUCUCUGGGCUCUGAAGGAGGAGGGGAAAAUGGAGGAGAUACAUACAACCAUGUGAACUCAAUUAUCCACAGUAAUUGUGACAGACAAAAUACAAGCAAAUGGCUAUGCACAUAUUCUAAUAAAACUUUGCUUAUAAAUCAGGAGGCUAGUGUGCUGACCACUGUGUGUGGUAGAGGUGACAAGAUGUGACAGAGAAGAGGUCCAGGAUUUGCUCUUAGAGAAGCCCUCGGCACUACAAACCCCACAGGGAAGGAAGCAGGAAGUACCGCUAUGGACUGUUCCACAUUUGUCUGUUAAGCUGCUUGACACUUCCAUGGAAAUGGUAGGAAGGCUCAGGGGCAUUUUACAUCCUCAGAUGCAAAGAAGGAAAGGAGAAGCAGUGUGGUUCUUCGAUAGUCUUGGCCCAAGGAUAUUCCCAGCAGGGAGAGGCAGGGUGUCUCCCAUGGAUUCCUCAGCAGCUAUUACAGCACCAC